rnacentral:rRNA from 1 species
AUGGCUGAGCACGUCGGGAAUGUCCACCGGGUAUCUGUGGAUGGACGUCGCCCACGGCCCAUCGGUGUUGCGCGCGGGCUGGAUGCACUCCCACGCCGCGCCGUUGCACUUGAACCCGGACCCGAAGCCGAUCAUCCACACGCGGUCGCCCUUGCGCAUGCGGCCCUUGGCCUCGAUGUACCCCAGCUCGUACCACAGCGAGCUGCUCGACGUGUUCCCAAACUUGUGCAGCGUCAUCCGCGACGCCUCCACCUGCUCGUCGGACAACCCGAGGUUCUUCUGCAGCUCGUCGAUGAUUGCGCGCCCGCCGGCGUGGAUGCAGAAAUGCUCGAACGCCGUGCGGAAGUCGGGGAUGUACGGCUUCACCCGCCUGUUGAUCACCUUCCGCGCGACGAAGGAGAAGGCGAACUUGAGCUGCUCGCUGGCCGGCAGGACGAGCGGCCCCAUCGCGGUGAUGUUGGCCUUGAGCGCGUCGCCGGCGAUGUUCAUCAGGUCCUUGCUGAGGUUGAUCCCCCGGUGACCCUCCCCGUCCUCCUCCUGGAACACGCACCGGUACGCGUUGUCCUGUGCGCCGGUGAGCGUGCGGAUGAGGUGCUUCAGGCGGAACCGGGCCUUCGCCGGGGACGUCGACAGCAGCGCGGCCGCCCCGCCGAUGCGGAAGAGGCAGUUGGGCAGGAGCAUUGCGCGCUCGGUGCCGAGGUAGUAGUUGGGCGUGAUGGUCUCCGUGGAGACCACGAGCGCGUGCGCGCUGUGGGGGGCCACCUGCAGCAGGUUCCUCGCGAGCCCCACGGCGGUGAGCCCCGCGCUGCACCCCAUGCCGGAGAGGUGCAUGCUGCGGAUGUCGCUCCGCAGCUUGUACUUGUUCACGAUCAUGUCGACCAGGGACGGCGUGGGGCAGAACAGGCUGCAGUUGACGAUGAGUAUGUCGAUGGCCUCGGGGGCGAUGCCGGUCUUGGCGAGCAGGUCGUCGAUGGCCGAGAAGGCGACGAGCUCGAACUCGGCGCGGGCGGCGUCGACGGUGCAGUACUUGUGCGUGCCGAUGUAGUGGUGCGCCGGCGGCAGGCAGGUCUCCUCCCCGAGCCCGGAGCGCUCCAGCAGCCGCGUCAUGAACCGGAUGCUGCGCUCGUUUAG